UACAGUAGCAGUAGUUAAAAGGCUUAAAGAUGGUAAUGCCAUUGGUGGUAAGAUUCAAUUCCAAACUGAAGUUGAGAUGAUCAGCCUGGCAGUUCACAGGAACCUUCUUUGGCUUUACGGGUUUUGUAUGACGGCCUCUAAGAGGCUCUUAGUUUACCCCUAUAUGUCAAACAGCAGUGUUGCCUCCCGCCUCAAAGCUAAGCAUAUGGACUCACAAUAAAGACAAGUGCACAAAGGAUGAUGAAUUGAAGGAUGGAGCAAGUUUCAUGCAUGAUUUACUUUUGUGUAUCUUGUAAUGUUUUUGUUUUUCAUUUUUGAAGUAAAAAAUGUUCAAGAUUAUAAAACUUUAUUAUGUUAUGCUUUCAAACUUAAGUUAGAACUAAGAUCUCAUGAAGUAGACACAUUCAUGGUUUGAAUUAGUUAUUGUUUAAUGUAAUACUUAUGGUUUAUCAAUCUAUUGAGAAUUAUAUUUUA